UACCAGCACCCCGAGUGGUCGGGACGAUUAUUGGGCCUAAAGCAUCCGUAGCCGGUCAUGCAAGUCCUCCGUUAAAUCCACCUGCUUAACAGAUGGGCUGCGGAGGAUACUACAAGGCUAGGAGGCGGAAGAGGCAAGCGGUACUCAGUGGGUAGGGGUAAAAUCCUCUGAUCCAUUGAAGACCACCAGUGGCGAAGGCGGCUUGCCAAUACGCGCUCGACGGUGAGGGAUGAAAGCUAGGGGAGCAAACGGG
rnacentral:rRNA from 1 species